rnacentral:rRNA from 1 species
GACGAACGCUGGCGGCGUGCCUAAUACAUGCAAGUAGAACGCACAGUUUAUACCGUAGCUUGCUACACCAUAGACUGUGAGUUGCGAACGGGUGAGUAACGCGUAGGUAACCUGCCUGGUAGCGGGGGAUAACUAUUGGAAACGAUAGCUAAUACCGCAUAAUAUUAAUUAUUGCAUGAUAAUUAAUUGAAAGGUGCAAUUGCACCACUACCAGAUGGACCUGCGUUGUAUUAGCUAGUAGGUGAGGUAACGGCUCACCUAGGCGACGAUACAUAGCCGACCUGAGUGGGUGAUCGGCCACACUGGGACGGAGACACGGCCCAGACUCCUACGGGAGGCAGCAGUAGGGAAUCUGCGGCAAGGGACGAAAGUCUGACCGAGCAACGCCGCGUGAGUGAAGAAGGUUUUCGGAUCGUAAAGCUCUGUUGUAAGAGAAGAACGGGUGUGAGAGUGGAAAGUUCACACUGUGACGGUAUCUUACCAGAAAGGGACGGCUAACUACGUG